rnacentral:lncRNA from 1 species
AGAAGGAGACCCCGAGUGAGGCAUGAGCUUCAUCCUGUGUCUUGGACGGAUAGGGCAGAAACCUGGCCGCACGAGACCCCACAGGUACUGGCUCAUGGGAAACAGACCCACGGGAAACGGGUGCGUGGGGGCCCCUGCGCAGCUGGACGCGCGUCCACAGGGUACUCGCCUGCUCCUCUCCUUUCCGCACCACUCGGGGACUUUCUUUCCCACCCAGAAGCAACUCCCUCUCGGCCCGUGCCGCCUGUGUUGAUGGGUUUUUGACUUUUGUGUUGCCCUUGUCACAGAGUGGUCACAGGAAGUCUGGAGAGACCUUGGGGAGGGCAGGUGGGCGGAGGAGGGCCCUGUGGGGAAGGCAGGCUGAGUGCAGUGGGGCUCUUGUCUCUCGGGAAGGGCUUGAAACCUCCCUUCCCACUCACAGGUAUCCCACCUAGUGGGUCCUGUGGAAACUGGAGCUGCUUUGGAAGUCUCACUCUCCAAGCCCUCUGGCAAGGAGGAAAUGAGACCCCAGU